GACGAACGCUGGCGGCGUGCUUAACACAUGCAAGUCGAACGGAAAGGCCCCCACCUUGGUGGGGGUGCUCGAGUGGCGAACGGGUGAGUAACACGUGGGUGAUCUGCCCUGUACUUCGGGAUAAGCUUGGGAAACUGGGUCUAAUACCGGAUAGGACCAUGGUUUAGAGUCUCAUGGAGGAAAAAUUAUUGUUUUGGUGCAGGAUGAGCUCGCGGCCUAUCAGCUUGUUGGUGGGGUAAUGGCCUACCAAGGCGUCGACGGGUAGCCGGCCUGAGAGGGAGGACGGCCACGUUGUGACUGAGAUACGGCCCAGCCUCCUACGGGAGGCAGCAGUGGGGAAUAUUGCACAAUGGGCGCAAGCCUGAUGCAGCGACGCCGCGUGGGGGAUGACGGCCUUCGGGUUGUAACCUCCUUUCGUUAGGGACGAAGCCACACCUUUUUUGGGUGUGGUGACGGUACCUUUGUUAAGAAGCACCGGCUAACUACGUG
rnacentral:rRNA from 1 species